rnacentral:ncRNA from 2 species
CGUAAGAAAUAAAUAAGAGUUCAUAUAAUCGCGGAGAUAUGGUCCGCAAGUUUCUACCAGACUGCCGUAAAUGGUCUGACUAUGAGCGAAAGUGUACCUAGG